rnacentral:rRNA from 1 species
GACGAACGCUGGCGGCGUGCUUAACACAUGCAAGUCGAACGGAAAGGCCCCUUUGGGGGUCCUCGAGUGGCGAACGGGUGAGUAACACGUGAGUAACCUGCCCUUGACUUCGGGAUAACUUCAGGAAACUGGGGCUAAUACCGGAUAGGAAUCCUUGCUGCAUGGUGGGGGUUGGAAAGCUUCGGCGGUUUUGGAUGGACUCGCGGCUUAUCAGCUUGUUGGUGGGGUAGUGGCUUACCAAGGCUUGGACGGGUAGCCGGCCUGAGAGGGCGACCGGCCACAUUGGGACUGAGAUGCGGCCCAGACUCCUACGGGAGGCAGCAGUGGGGAAUAUUGCACAAUGGGCGGAAGCCAGAUGCAGCAACGCCGCGUGCGGGAUAACGGCCUUCGGGUUGUAAACCGCUUUCAGCAGGGGCGAAGCGUUUGUGACGGUACCUGCAGAAGAAGCACCGGCUAACUACGUG